rnacentral:rRNA from 1 species
ACGCUGACGGAAUGCUUAACACAUGCAAGUCAACUUGAAUUUGGGUUUUUAACUUAGAUUUGGGUGGCGGACGGGUGAGUAACGCGUAAAGAACUUGCCUCACAGCUAGGGACAACAUUUAGAAAUGAAUGCUAAUACCUGAUAUUAUAAUUUUAAGGCAUCUUAGAAUUAUGAAAGCUAUAAGCACUGUGAGAGAGCUUUGCGUCCCAUUAGCUAGUUGGAGAGGUAACAGCUCACCAAGGCGAUGAUGGGUAGCCGGCCUGAGAGGGUGAACGGUCACAAGGGGACUGAGACACGGCCCUUACUCCUACGGGAGGCAGCAGUGGGGAAUAUUGGACAAUGGACCGAGAGUCUGAUCCAGCAAUUCUGUGUGCACGAUGAAGUUUUUCGGAAUGUAAAGUGCUUUCAGUUGGGAAGAAAAAAAUGACGGUACCAACAGAAGAAGUGACGGCUAAAUACGUGCCAGCAGCCGCGGUAAUACGUAUGUCACGAGCGUUAUCCGGAUUUAUUGGGCGUAAAGCGCGUCUAGGUGGUUAUGUAAGUCUGAUGUGAAAAUGCAGGACUCAACUCUGUAUUGCGUUGGAAACUGUAUAACUAGAGUACCGGAGAGGUAAGCGGAACUACAAGUGUAGAGGUGAAAUUCGUAGAUAUUUGUAGGAAUGCCGAUGGGGAAGCCAGCUUACUGGACAGAUA